UGGAUCGAUGAUGACUUCCAUAUAUACAUUCCUUGGAAAGCUGAACAAAAUGAGUGAAAACUCUAUACUGUCAUCCUCGUCGAACUGAGGUCCAGCACAUUACUCCAACAGGGGCUAGACAGAGAAGGCCAACAUCCGUUUGUUGACAUGGGUUAUAUCAAGGCGUCUGUUCAGGCUUAGAAUGUGGUCUCUUAUGGGUGAUGGGGGUCACAGGAGAGUGGUGGCUCCCAUGUAUAGGAAAUUUCUUGUUUGAAGGACUGUCAGUGAGGGUGGGUAACACAUGCAUUGUCUGCAGGACUAGGUGAAUGUCCAUGUGGCCUAGCAAGAGUUAGCUGGUAGCCCGCCUCUGGUUGCCAAUUUGUUCUUGAGUCCUUGUUCUGGGUUCUCAGGUCCCACGGAGGAAAACAGAUCUGUGUGGUUGAGAGGUGGGUACAAGGCCGCAUCUUUGUCAUUUGUUGGCUAACUUUGUCCUUGGUUGAGGACAUUAGAGUUUUGGUCACCAGGCAUAGCCUAUGUGCCUUUGUGCCCGUGUUGUAUCCCACGUGUUUUGAGGACAUGUAUUUUGCACGUAAAGGUGAGCUCCUGCUCCAAGCUGGUUCUGAUACCAAAGGAGUCCCUGGCUUAUCCUAAACUCAUGGUAGGUUAAAGCCUUCCUCCUUAGGGGUUCAGGGCCGCAAGGCUUUUGUGAGUGGCAUUGCAGGCGUUGAAGCAGUGAUGUUGAGAGGGAUGGUCAAUGUCAGUGCUCUUUAGCAGGAUGGUGUACUGCAGGGGCCCCCAGCCCCGAGACGAGCAUCCCUGCAUCCAUGCAUUUCUGCCUCCAUGAACAGGGGAGGCCAGAGACAGGCAGAUAGUAGAUAAAUUGCAGGGGACUGGAUGACAUGGCCCUCGUGACCUGUGCACCUGUCUGUCUUUCUGAAGCACGCCUGUGUUAACUCUGCACCUCCCAGGUAGCACUGGCAUGGAGGGCAGGCACAUGUUGGUGAGGGACAAUUGUUACCUUGUGUGAGCUGCGGAGAUACCAGGAAGCCCCUGGACACAAAUGGCAAAGGCUCCUUCGGAAGUUGUUGGAUCCCUUCUGAAUGUAAGCACUUCUUUCCCAGAGCACUCUGAGUUUCCUCAUUUGCAGGGACAAAUACUGUGCGUGGAUCGAUGAUGACUUCCACAUAUACAUUCCUUGGAAAGCUGAACAAAAUGAGUGAAAACUCUAUACCGUCAUCCUCGUCGAACUGAGGUCCA
rnacentral:lncRNA from 1 species